rnacentral:tRNA from 1 species
GGCCUGCUGGCGCAAUGGUAGCGCGUUUGUUUACGAUGCAAAAGGUACGGUCCCAUGACUCACAUCACCAGUCCAGCUCGAAUACUAAGUCUCAAUCCAGGUUGUAGGUUCGAUUCCUGCGUAGGUCG